AGGUGCUUUCCCUGUCUGCAGAGUGAAAGCUAGUCGAUUUCUAUUUGAAGUCCACCUUCUGGGAAAGAAGAAAGAAGGUGAAUGUAAGGGACAGAAUUGGAGAGAGAGAUUGAAGUGAAGAAUAACCUAUUUGGGAAACACAUAUAACUGGAAGAAAAAAAAAUCUCAGGUGCAGAUGAAGAUACUGACCGUUGUCAAUUACAUUGAAAGAUCAGCAAGGACAACCUGGAGCCGUCCAUGUUCCCGAUACAGAAGGGCUCCCUGAACCUCCUGAGGCAGAAGUGGGAAUCCUGCGAGUACCACAAAAGUGAGUGUUGCCCUGGAGGUAGUCGUUGCAGGCUCUUCCAGCCUCGAGAAAGCAAACUGCUUGACCCCAAAGUAGAGGGAGUGUCAGCACCUGGACCUCCAGAUGCCCCUGGCAUGCCCCUCAGUGUAGGAGAGGAGAUGUUGAACUCAGAGCGUGAGGACAAGAGUGACAACUCCAGGGAAUAUCGCCCACCUGAAGUGCUAAAAGAGGAUUCCUUGACUGGUCGGCGCAGGAUCGAGCGCUUCUCUAUUGCCCUUGAUGAGCUGAGAAGCGUGUUUGAGGCUCCCAGGAGUGGAAACAGACCAGCUAGACCAGCAGAAUAUUGCCAAAAGGUAAGGAUUGAGAGUUGAAAUUUCCAGUUGACAAGCUAGGCAACUAGCUUCACCUGCCGCUUAUUUUUAAGCACGUGAUGUUUUUUGGUUGCUUCUGGGUGUGCGUGUUUUCCCCUCACCUAUACUCUAGACAAAUGUCCUAAGGCAGCUGUGUAAUAUACAGUGUGAAAUGUGGCAUCCUCUAUCCUUGACUUCUUCUUUGGUCUAUUCAAGUGGGGACUCAAUUUCCUUUUACUCCUGCAAAAACAGCUCUGAUAGGCUGUUUC